AUCGGACUAGGAUAUAGCUGGUUUUCUGCGAAAUCUAUUUAGGUAGAUAGCUUAAUAAGGAUGUUUAUUAGUGGGUAUAGCACUGAAUAUCUAAUAUUAUUUGAAGGGAGUAUGAAAGUACUUACUUUGGAUAUUUAAUCUCAGAAUAACUAAUAGAUGAAAGAUGAUUAAGUUGUCAGACUUUUUGCGAUAAGGUGGGAAGUCAAGAGG
rnacentral:rRNA from 1 species